rnacentral:rRNA from 1 species
UGGGGAAUAUUGGGCAAUGGGCGAAAGCCUGACCCAGCAACGCCGCGUGAAGGAAGAAGGUCUUCGGAUUGUAAACUUCUUUUAUCAGGGACGAAGGAAGUGACGGUACCUGAUGAAUAAGCCACGGCUAACUACGUGCCAGCAGCCGCGGUAAUACGUAGGUGGCGAGCGUUAUCCGGAUUUACUGGGUGUAAAGGGCGCGUAGGCGGGGAAUGCAAGUCAGAUGUGAAAUCUAUGGGCUUACCCCAUAAACUGCAUUUGAAACUGCACUUCUUGAGUGUCGGAGAGGUAGACGGAAUUCCUAGUGUAGCGGUGAAAUGCGUAGAUAUUAGGAGGAACACCAGUGGCGAAGGCGGUCUACUGGACGAUAACUGACGCUGAGGCGCGAAAGCGUGGGGAGCAAACAGGAUUAGAUACCC